UACGUAGGUGGCAAGCGUUGUCCGGAAUUAUUGGGCGUAAAGAGCUCGUAGGCGGUCUGUCGCGUCUGCUGUGAAAUCCCGGGGCUCAACCCCGGGCUUGCAGUGGAUACGGGCAGACUAGAGUUCGGUAGGGGAGACUGGAAUUCCUGGUGUAGCGGUGAAAUGCGCAGAUAUCAGGAGGAACACCGGUGGCGAAGGCGGGUCUCUGGGCCGAUACUGACGCUGAGGAGCGAAAGCGUGGGGAGCGAACAGG
rnacentral:rRNA from 1 species